rnacentral:rRNA from 1 species
UACGUAGGCAGCAAGCGUUGUUCGGAAUUACUGGGCGUAAAGAGUGUGUAGGCGGUGUUCUAAGUUCGGUGUGAAAUCUCCCGGCUCAACUGGGAGGGUGCGCCGAAAACUGGGAUGCUCGAGCGUGGGAGAGGAAAGCGGAAUUCCUGGUGUAGCGGUGAAAUGCGUAGAUAUCUGGAGGAACACCGGUGGCGAAGGCGGCAUCCUGGACCGGUAUUGACGCUGAGGCGCGAAAGCCAGGGGAGCAAACGGG